AUUGAACGCUGGCGGCAGGCUUAACACAUGCAAGUCGAACGAGUGGCGGACGGGUGAGUAAUGCUUGGGAAUCUAGCUUAUGGAGGGGGAUAACUACGGGAAACUGUAGCUAAUACCGCGUACCAUAGGAUGAGCCCAAGUGGGAUUAGGUAGUUGGUGAGGUAAAGGCUCACCAAGCCGACGAUCUCUAGCUGGUCUGAGAGGAUGACAAGACACACUGGGACUGAGACACGGACCAGAAGCCUACGGGAGGCAGCAGUGGGGAAUAUUGGGCAAGGGGGGAAACCUGACGAAGCCAUGCCGCGUGAAUGAAGAAGGCCGUCGGGUUGUAAAGUUCUUUCGGUAGCGAGGCGUUAACUACAGAAGAAGCACCGGCUAACUCCGUGCCAGCAGCCGCGGUAAUAC
rnacentral:rRNA from 1 species